GCAGAAAGGGGCUUCAGUUAGGGUUUCCAGGUGUCUGGUUUUUGACGGGGACACCUGGUCGAAAAGGGACCCUGGCAACUCUGGUCAGCACUGGUGACUGGGCCGUUAAAAGUCCAGUCUGUGGCGCAGCGGGACUAACGCAGACUCCCUGCCUGCCCUGGCUCUGCGCCGCUGCUGGAAGUGGCCAUGUCCCUGCAGCUCUGGGAAACACGGCCAAUGGGAGCUGCGGGGGCAGUGCCUGUGGGUGAUGGCACAGGUGCCUUGGGGCUGCAGGGACAUGUGGCCGCUUCUGGGAAUCACCUCAGAAUCAGGCUCAGAAUCAUAGUUGAUCCCUGCAGUCAAGAUGAUUGAGACAGGUAGACUCCUGCAUCCAUGAAAAGCAUCAGUGAAACCUGGAGAGAACUGGAGAACUGAGGACCUAAGAAUUUAAUUUGGCAAGUCUAGGAUUUCUUGCAAGAUUUCUUUUCGGUCAUUGGAAAUACCCCAAGGACAGUAACUUUUUGUUUGUUUUUUGGCUAAAUAUGGAAAUAUUUUGAGUCAAAUGUCAAAGUAAUUACGAAACCUACCUUCCUUUUAAACCUCAAAAAUUCACUUGGAGUUUUUGGUUGAGGCCUAUUUCAAUUUUACAUUAACCUGUUCAACCAUAAAUACAGGUGUGAAGAAUGAGAUAUUUCUUAGGUAGUCUGAGUCACUACCUCAAGCAUGUUGCUGGACAUACAGCCAUUUGGAAUGUCUCAAAUAACACACUAACAUUUCUGUUAAUUUGCACAUGUUAUAUGCUGUUUAUUACAAUUUAUUUUCUCUUGGAUUCAGGACUUUGAUAGCACACAUCUUUAUUUCUAAUCUGGAAACCUCCAUUCAAGGAAUGCAUCACAUCUAAAACUGAACUUUAAUAACUGCCCCACAGAAGAACCCAACUUCAGAGCCUUCUACAGAGUUCCAACGGCAAUGUCUGUUGAUUGAUGGAAGUAAACCUUUGAACACAUCACAGCUAUACAAGUGAUAGUAGUUCCAUUCUUUUGGCAGAUGUCCCUAAAGCCAUCUUGUUUAAUCUCUGUUUUAAGUUCUUGAGUAAACAUAUUGAUUGCCACCAAGGCAAAGAAAAUGCACUAAUGUUACAGCCCUUUUAUCUCUUGUUAUUGACUAUAUUCAUAUGUUGUGAACUUGAUGUAAGUUCCAAGAUGGCUAUGCAGAGGAGGGGAAAGGAGUCUGCUUUAGAUAAGUACUUUGAGAACCUGUACAAACUUUUAGCUGGUCAGUUGCAAACUGGCUAGCCUUGUAGGUGAGACACUGGACUGGGAGUCGGGAAAGUUGGAUCAAUGCCCAGCUCCACACCUCUGAUGAGCCCCAUCUUACAGAUAUGGAAUGUACAACCUGGGAAUAGUGAGGAUUAAUGUUUAAGGUGCUCAGAUACUGCAGUGAUGGAUGUUAUAAGAAGAUAGAUGGAAACAUCAGUGUGUUUAACAUGGAACGGCCUGUACUGAAAUUCACGUAGCUGCCUACAGCAACAAGGGAAGACUCAGAGCUCAGUACACACCCGCAAGAAAGUCUGGCAGAACAUAGCAUUACUUUUAGCACCCAUCACCGUAGUAUCAACGUGCUCCAGAGCAAUAUUUCACAAACUCUCCUGAGGAGAUGGGCUGACGCUGAGUCCGCCAGGGGCACGGAAGAGUUGAAGGCUGGGAUUUUCCAAGAAGCCUAAAGGAGUUGGUCACCCAACCCUCAUUUAAUGCAGUCGUAACCCGAACUCGUCUCGGCUUCUUUGGCAAUCCCAACCUACUCAGAUAAAGCUGGUAUGUGGAAAAUUCCUAACCCCUAACUAAACACAGCAUGCUGGGGAGGAUAUGCUUGUGCUGUAGCCUGACAGCCCGGGCCUGCCAGAGAAGGAACUUUGCUGGACAAAUGGACAGUCUGGCCACCAGUUGGCUAGACUGUCCAAGGUGAUGUGAACAUCAUGCCCUUAGCAUAACAGGGGCCCAGAUCUCAGCUGGGGCCUCUAGGUACUGUUGUAAUACACAACACAACUACUCUGCCCUGGGCCCUGCACUGCCCUAGGGACAGCCCUGCUUCUAUCCUAAACUUUCUUAAAUACUGCUGUUAGGUGCCUGUCUUGCUAAAUUCUUCUCUUCCAGGCCCUUGGGACAUGGGUGACUUGGGGGGCCACAGUCAGAGGCAAUACAUAAGGGGAAUGUAAGUUUCAUGUUGAUAAGUAAGUUUGAAAACCCAUAUUCUGUAACCCUUACUGCCACUCAAUGGUGCUUAACCAAGGAAAUGUAUCGCACUUCAUUGAAACCAAUGGGACUAAUCAUGCAGUAUGAAUAAGGGUGGCAUAUUAGGGACCUAAGGGAAUCUACAAAGAGUUAAAAUUAGUGGGGAGCUAAAAAAAAAAAAAAGGAGCAUACAUUAAACUUAGACUCAUCAAAGAGACUCAUUUCUGAAUGUGGCACAAGAUUUUUAAGACAAACAAAGCUGGAAUAUUUUAGGACUAUUCUAUGCAUAAGAAACUUUCCAUGAAAACCCCUUUAAGCCCUCCUCCCAAUUAUGUGUUGAACAAAACAAUAUUUGUGUCAAUAAAAAGAUAACAGUGAGAACAGAAAUCAGUUCUGCUCAGAUAAACUGAGGAAAUAUUUAACACACCUAACAGAAUGUGAUCAAUAAAAUGUAGACUUUUUUGGGGGGGGGGAGGGGGAGAAAAAGAAGAGUCCAAAGACUUUAGCAAAAUAACAGUGUGUUAAAUAAGACUGGUGAAACUUGACUGUCAUAGCUUUCCUUUCAAACAUACCUACUGGGAAUACUUAAUAGAUAUGUAUAGUUCUCUGUUAAAUGCAGAUC